UGGACCGUUGGUCACCGGAGGAUCCGUGCUUCGGGAGCGCGUUGCGCAGGGCCUUGAGCAUCGGAUCAUCCGAUGCGGUCCGAC
rnacentral:tRNA from 1 species